GAUGAACGCUAGCGAUAGGCCUAACACAUGCAAGUCGAGGGGCAUCACAUGAAGUAGCAAUACGGAUGGUGGCGACCGGCGCACGGGUGAGUAACACGUAUGCAACCUGCCUUCAACAAGGGGAUAACCCGUUGAAAGACGGACUAAUACCCUAUAACACAGGGGUCCCGCAUGGGAAUAUUUGUUAAAGGACAACCGGUUGAAGAUGGGCAUGCGUUCCAUUAGCUAGUUGGCGGGGUAACGGCUCACCAAGGCGACGAUCAGUAGCUGGUCUGAGAGGAUGAUCAGCCACACUGGGACUGAGACACGGCCCAGACUCCUACGGGAGGCAGCAGUGGGGAAUAUUGGACAAUGGGCGCAAGCCUGAUCCAGCCAUGCCGCGUGGAGGAUGAAAUACUUUUGUAUGUAAACUCCUGUAAGAAGGGAAAAUAUUUCGAUUUAUCGGAAUUGAUUGUACCUUCAGAGUAAGCACCGGCUAACUACGUGCC
rnacentral:rRNA from 1 species